rnacentral:tRNA from 1 species
AUUUAAAUAGCUUAUAUAGAGCUUAAUAUUGAAGAUAUUACGGAAAUUGAAUAAUUUUUAAAUA